rnacentral:rRNA from 1 species
AUUGAACGCUGGCGGCAGGCCUAACACAUGCAAGUCGAACGGUAACAGGAAACAGCUUGCUGUUUCGCUGACGAGUGGCGGACGGGUGAGUAAUGUCUGGGAAACUGCCUGAUGGAGGGGGAUAACUACUGGAAACGGUAGCUAAUACCGCAUAACGUCGCAAGACCAAAGAGGGGGACCUUCUGGCCUCUUGCCAUCGGAUGUGCCCAGAUGGGAUUAGCUAGUAGGUGGGGUAACGGCUCACCUAGGCGACGAUCCCUAGCUGGUCUGAGAGGAUGACCAGCCACACUGGAACUGAGACACGGUCCAGACUCCUACGGGAGGCAGCAGUGGGGAAUAUUGCACAAUGGGCGCAAGCCUGAUGCAGCCAUGCCGCGUGUAUGAAGAAGGCCUUCGGGUUGUAAAGUACUUUCAGCGGGGAGGAAGGGAGUAAAGUUAAUACCUUGACUCAUUGACGGUACCCGCAGAAGAAGCACCGGCUAACUCCGUG